rnacentral:tRNA from 1 species
AGCGCAGCCUGGUUAGCGCGUUUGACUGGGGGUCAAAAGGUCGCAGGUUCGAAUCCUGUC